AUGCACAUCAGCGUCCACGUUGAGGUCUCCAAUCCCGUGCUCAACUUCGAGUGCUCGGCUUGGCCCAAGGUGAUGGAUGUGGAGAGAGUCUUCCCCGUCCGGCGCACUGGGCUAACGCCUGAGCUCCUCCACCACCGCCGCUCCCUACUGCCCGUGCCCGCAUCACCAUCGAGCAUUAGCUCCCGACAUCGACAUCGACGUCGCCAUGAAGGCCGCCGCCACUGCCGCCGUGCAGUGCGAGGCCAAGCCCGACCCGGAGCUGGUGCACGGAGAGCUCGUGCUAAAGUCCGACAUGGUGUACAGCGAGCAGGCCGCCGGAGCUCCUCUGCUUCCCUCGCAUGCACAAGAGGUAUUUGUUGA
rnacentral:rRNA from 1 species